ACAGGAACUUUAAAAAACUUGUUGGUGGAUAAGCCAAACGAAAGAAGGGAUCACGUCAAGUCCUUAUGAUCUUUAUAAACUGGGCUACAAACGUGCUACAGUGGAAAUUACAAAAAGUAGCGAUAGCCAAAAACUGGAGCAAAUCUUUAAAAAUUUCUAAUGUUCGAAUUGUGUUCUGAAACUCGAGCACAUGAAGUUGGAAUCACAAGUAAUCGUAGAUCAGCAUGCUAUGGUGAAUUUGUACCUUGAUCUUGUACACACCGCCCGUCACAUGUUGAAA
rnacentral:rRNA from 1 species